CAGGCUUAACACAUGCAAGUUGAAGGGAAACGACUUUGAGUGCUUGCACUCUUAAAUUGUCUACGGACGCAAGGGUGAGUAACGCGUAUCCAACGUUGACAACACGUGGGAUACCCUCCCGAAAGGUAGACUAAUCCCGCAUAAUCUUCGAUGAAGGCAUCAGAUUUGCAGUAAAGAUCAUCGGUAAGGGACGAGGAUGCGUCUGAUUAGCUUGGGUCGGGUUAACGGCCCACCAAGGAGACGAUCAGUAGGGGUUCUGAGAGGAAGGUCCCCCACUUUGGAAGUGAGACACGGUCCAAAGUCAUACGGGAGGCAUCAAUGAUGAAUAUUGGUCAAUGGACGGAAGUUUGAACCCGCCAAGUAGCAUCCAGGAUGACGGCCCUAUGGGUUGUAAAGUGCUUUUGUAUGGGGAUAAAGUUAGGGACGUGUCCCUAUUUGCAGGUACCAUUCGAAUAAGGACCGGCUAAUUCCGUGCCAGCAGCCGCGGUAAUACGGAAGGUCCCGGCGUUAUCCGGAUUUAUUGGGUUUAAAGGGAGCGUAGGCUGGAGAUUAAGUGUGUUGUGAAAUGUAGACGCUCAACGUCUGACUUGCAGCGCAUACUGGUUUCCUUGAGUACGCACAACGUUGGCGGAAUUCGUCGUGUAGCGGUGAAAUGCUUAGAUAUGACGAAGAACUCCGAUUGCGAAGGCAGCUGUCGGGAGCGCAACUGACGCUUAAGCUCGAAGGUGCGGGUAUCAAACAGG
rnacentral:rRNA from 1 species